rnacentral:sRNA from 1 species
UCAGUAACGGCGAGUGAAGCGGCAACAGCUCAAAUUUGAAAGCUGGCCCCCCCGGGGGUCCGCGUUGUAAUUUGUAGAGGAUGAUUCGGCGAGGGCUCCCGCCUAAGUCCCCUGGAACGGGGCGUCAUAGAGGGUGAGAAUCCCGUAUGCGGUGGGCUGCCUUAGCCAUGUGAAUCUCCUUCGACGAGUCGAGUUGUUUGGGAAUGCAGCUCUAAAUGGGAGGUAAAUUUCUUCUAAAGCUAAAUACCGGCCAGAGACCGAUAGCGCACAAGUAGAGUGAUCGAAAGAUGAAAAGCACUUUGGAAAGAGAGUUAAAAAGUACGUGAAAUUGUUGAAAGGGAAGCGCUUGCAGCCAGACUUGUCCGCAGUUGCUCAGCCGGUCUCCUGACCGGCGCACUCUUCUGCGGCCAGGCCAGCAUCAGUUCGGGCGGUCGGAUAAAGGCCCCGGGAACGUAGCUCCUCUCGGGGAGUGUUAUAGCCCGGGGUGGAAUGCGGCCAGCCUGGACUGAGGAUCUCGCUUCGGCUAGGAUGCUGGCGUAAUGGCUGUAAGCGGCCCGUCUUGAAACACGGACCAAGGAGUCUAACAUCUAUGCGAGUGUUUGGGUGUCAAACCCAUGCGCGUAAUGAAAGUGAACGGAGGUGGGAACCCUCGCGGGUGCACCAUCGACCGAUCCUGAUGUCUUCGGAUGGAUUUGAGUAAGAGCAUAGCUGUUGGGACCCGAAAGAUGGUGAACUAUGCCUGAAUAGGGUGAAGCCAGAGGAAACUCUGGUGGAGGCUCGCAGCGGUUCUGACGUGCAAAUCGAUCGUCAAAUUUGGGUAUAGGGCGA